rnacentral:rRNA from 1 species
AUUGAACGCUGGCGGCAUGCCUUACACAUGCAAGUCGAACGGUAACAGGUCUUCGGAUGUUGACGAGUGGCGAACGGGUGAGUAAUACAUCGGAACGUGCCUAGUAGUGGGGGAUAACUACUCGAAAGAGUGGCUAAUACCGCAUGAGAUCUACGGAUGAAAGCAGGGGAUCGCAAGACCUUGUGCUACUAGAGCGGCCGAUGGCAGAUUAGGUAGUUGGUGGGAUAAAAGCUUACCAAGCCGACGAUCUGUAGCUGGUCUGAGAGGACGAUCAGCCACACUGGGACUGAGACGCGGCCCAGACUCCUACGGGAGGCAGCAGUGGGGAAUUUUGGACAAUGGGCGAAAGCCUGACCCAGCAAUGCCGCGUGCAGGAUGAAGGCCUUCGGGUUGUAAACUGCUUUUGUACGGAACGAAAAGCCCCGGGUUAAUACCCUGGGGUCAUGACGGUACCGUAAGAAUAAGCACCGGCUAACUUCGUGCCAGCAGCCGCAGUAA